rnacentral:rRNA from 1 species
GAUGAACGCUAGCGGCAGGCCUAACACAUGCAAGUCGAGGGGUAGUUACUUUCGGAGCUAGAGACCGGCGCACGGAUGCGUAACGCGUAUGCAAUCUACCUUUUACAGAGGGAUAGCCCCAGAGAAAUUUGGAUUAAUACCUCAUAGUAUGUGAGAAUCGCAUGGUUUUCACAUUAAAGUUCCAACGGUAAAAGAUGAGCAUGCGUCCCAUUAGCUAGAUGGUAAGGUAACGGCUUACCAUGGCUACGAUGGGUAGGGGUCCUGAGAGGGAGAUCCCCCACACUGGUACUGAGACACGGACCAGACUCCUACGGGAGGCAGCAGUGAGGAAUAUUGGACAAUGGGCGCAAGCCUGAUCCAGCCAUGCCGCGUGCAGGAUGACGGUCCUAUGGAUUGUAAACUGCUUUGUACAGGAAGAAACACUCCCUCGUGAGGGAGCUUGACGGU